UUUCAGCAAUGGACGGGGUGCCUUUUAUGAUCUCUGAGAAGUUUGCCUGUGCUUCAUCUGAUCUCCAGCAGGUGGAUCUGAUGGGUAUUACAAUUAAGUCACUGGCUGAGAUUGAAAAGGAGUAUGAUUACAGUUUCCGUACAGAGCAUAGUGCAGCAGCUCGCCUCCCUCCGAGUCCAACACGGACCUCUUUGAGUUCUGAGGCCUAAGCAUCCCUCAUCUCUAUAGACAGCAGCAGGAGAGAACUGCAUACAACUACUGAGAAACCUGCCUACACCGGUGAUAUUCAACCUGUAAAUGAGAAGACAAAAAAAAAGUGUGAUACAUUUUCUAACUUCUGAGAGAUGUUAUAGGCUCUCUGUAUGCUGUUGGAAUGAAAAGGAAAUGAAAAACAAUGGAAUUCAGUCAGGCUCAAACCACUACACUGCAGAGCUGGGUUUUAGGACAAAAAAGACAUUUUAUGCUCAAUGAGAUAUUGAAGUGUCUCAGAUGCAUUCAAAAAAGAAUGGUUAUGUGUUAUAUUGUAGUGAUAAAAAUAACCCUGCCCCAUCAGAAGAACUUGUUAGAAACAAGAUAAACAGAUCAUAGGGGUACUUUAUUUUUCAUGGUAGUUAAGUCUCAAAGCAUAUUUAAUAUUGCUUUUCUUGUUUAUAAUGUGCUCUGUUCUGAAACAAAUCACCACAAAGGCACCUGAUGUGUCACAAAACUAAAAGAAAACUGUGAUUUAGAGUUUUGUUGUUGAGCUUGUGCUGGUCUUCUCGAUGGGGAAAUGUUUCUCAUGGUUUUCUAGAUGUUACUGUAGUGUGCUAAUGUGACUGUGAGUGCAUUUUGUGUUUGGGAAUUUUAAUGUGCUUUCUGUUUGCUACAGUUAUUCAAUUAGCCACUUCUUUCUCUGAGGUGGCUUGCCUGACAUAUAGAACCACAGCCACAGCUUAUGUCCACUGGGCUGAGUAUUCACAACAAGGUUUUUCUACUGUUCAAAAUUCUAAUACCUUACUUUGCAUAACUAUGCAUAGAGAUAUUUUAUUGAAACAUGUUAUUUUCACUGAAAGCAUAACAUAAUCUUUUCACUGAAGGAGUAACAUCCAGCAAACCUCAGACACAUUUUAACCAAAAAGCCCUAAUACCUAGCCCUUUUGUAUCAUAGCCAUAAUCACAGUUUUAAGUUGCCUUCAUCAGUGUUAUGUUGAACAGAUAGAUGCUGCAUCAGUUAUGUGUCGCAAACAGUUUUAUUGAAGUACAUUGGUUAUGUGUGAAAGGAUGUGCAUACAGCACAUAUAUAUCCUAUGUAAUGCUGAUUCAGCCAUUUUUAACAGGUCUGGUUAUUAUAGGAUAUCUGGUUUAUGUAGUUUUUCUUUAAACCACCCACAUUGACAUGUCAUGACAAUAAAGACCAAAUCAGAGCCACUAGUAGAGUCAGGACUGGUUAUUUGCACCUGAUUUUGUUUUCAUUUGUCUACAGCACCAUUCCUUAUUAGUAUGUCAUUGGAUUAGACAAGUACCUCAACCAAAAGUUAAUUCAUGGUUUAUUAAUUUAGCAGUUAGUUUUUUUGUUUUUUUCCAAAUAAGCCAGCUUGAAAUUGUCAGUUUGAAUUUUGGUUGCCCCUGUAGGACAAGGUAACUUGUUUUUUAACUUCUUUUUUGUUGUUGUUGGCAAGAAAUUGUAAAAGGCUUCCUUAGGUAACUCAAUUAAUGAAACUCAGCAUUUUACGCUGUGCUUCAAAUUCCUUGCACCGCACUGACAGUAACUCAACAGCAAAAAUAUAAGGCAAAGUGGAAAGAAUGGAAACAUUUAAGCUGGGUUCAUACUGCAUAAUAGCAGCCUAAUGAUAGAAAAGGUAUAGGAUGGAAAUUUGUCCUCAAAAGACAUUUUGUUUUUAGAGGUUUCCAACAAAAUCAAUAUCUACUUCAGACCAAAAGAUCUUAUUCUUGUCUCCUCAAUUAUGUCUAUGGUCUAGAGAAAAACCUUGCAGGCUCUCAGGUGUCUGUCCCAAGUCAUGGCUGCACUUUCUAACUGACACAGUGGGAAAUGUCCUGUAUUAUAGAUUAAGAAUUGCUGUGUUUAGAGAAGUGCAGGAGCAUAAUGAAUGGGAUAUGAAUCUUGAAGAUAGAAAGGUAUUCAAUGGCCUAGUACAUUAUGCUAAAUAAAUAAAUAAAAUAUGAACUGUUAGAAUGAGGCAGUUUUGGAAACUGCCCUUUAUUUGUGCAAGUGUUGCUGUUUGAUACUUAGUUUUUUGUUUUGUUUUUUUAAGGGAAAAUAAAUGGUCAGUUGUUGUUCACCUGAUUCUGCACCAUCCACUCAGUUAUGAUGUGAACAAAUGGAGUUGGAACUGGUGAGGUGAUGACACCACUUGUAGAUUAAGUGUAUUUUAUCUCCAUGGCUAUAAUCAAAAAGGUUUCAUGUUCCUGUGUAUUGGACAAAAUACACCAAUACAUAUCUGUGAUAGGCCAGUAUCAGUUGGGCUCUUAUUAUUGAUCUUAAGUUCACUCUAACAAGGUGUCUGUGUAUUCUGUAUGGCUUCUCCUUCAUGUUAAUACAUAUGAUGUAGCGUCAAAGAUUUUGAAAAGCUCAAUUAAACCAGUUUUAUUUUUGCUGAUUUCCCUUUUUCACAAAUCUCAUGUGGCAAGAAAAAAAUGUUCUGCAGUAUUGUCAUUAAUAAACAGAGUAACUCCUUUAGCUCUAUGUAAAUUAUUUGUCAGUAUUUCAGUAUAGUGCCUGCUUUCUUAAACACUUUGAUUUGUUUUCCUUUCCUUUUAUCCUAUAAAACUGUCAAUUGCACUGCUUAUUAAUUACUAAUAGGUUUAGACAUUUGGUUCAUGCCCAUGUGAAACUGUAUUUCAGCUGUCUGCAACUGCCUGGUAUGUGAUAAUCUGUAUCAUGUAUGAUUUCUAAAACUCGUGUUUACUUCUAGCCAGGUAGGCUGCGACAUUAAAUAGCAAAUAUAACUGUAUUAACAACCAGUAAUCCUGCUUUGAUGUAUCAGUUGCAUGCAUGGUGACAUGUUAAGAUGCUAGAGGUUUCAGUAUGACAGUUAUUUGUUUAUUUGGUUGUUUAAUUGUUUCGUUUUUCAGGUUAAUGAUCACAAUUGUUUCAGAAUGUUUUUAUUCACUAAGGAUGGGGGAAAAAACAGCAUUAGCUUAUUUUGUAUUUUGAGGAAGUUUUAUUAAACUGUGAUGAACUGAA